GGAUGUGAGGGCGAUCUGGCUGCGACAUCUGUCACCCCAUUGAUCGCCAGGGUUGAUUCGGCUGAUCUGGCUGGGUAGGCGGGUGUCCCCCUCCUCCCUCACUGAUCCAUGUGCGUCCCUCCCGAAGCUGCGCGCUCGGUCGAAGAGGACCACCUCCCCCCCACCCCCCCAGGAGAGGACCAGUCUUCGGUCAAGGGUAUACGAGUAGCUGCGCUCCCCUGCUAGAACCUCCAAACAAGCUCUCAAGAACCAACCAACGAAUGCACAAAUAACUGGAAUGACAAAUCAAUGUUUCUCUCUCUU
rnacentral:snRNA from 1 species